rnacentral:misc_RNA from 1 species
UUGUGGAGGAGGACGCCGAAGGUGGGGCUAAUGACUGGGGUGAAGUCGUAACAAGGUAGCCGUACCGGAAGGUGCGGCUGGAUCACCUCCUAACAGGGAGACAACAAAAUGUUAAAUAUUAAUUUUGUCACCUUAGGUCGAUCGGUAUCUCACAUUCUUAAUUUAUUUAAGGAUUUUAUUUCCUAAGUUUUUCUAGGUCACACCCAUCACUUUUCCUGGGCCAUUAGCUCAGGUGGUUAGAGCGCACCCCUGAUAAGGGUGAGGUCCCUGGUUCAAGUCCAGGAUGGCCCAUAUCUCUAUGUUGGGGGUAUAGCUCAGUUGGUAGAGCGCCUGCUUUGCAAGCAGGAUGUCAGCGGUUCGAGUCCGCUUACCUCCACUGAUUACCACCUCUUCCAUAAUCUGUAGAAAGGAAAUGUUUUGAGUUGUGAUCAAAUUCUGAACGAAUCUAGCUUCCUAAUGAAAUCAUUAAGAUGCUGGACUCAUUGAAUUAAUUUCAUUGUUUUCAGAGAACCUUGACAACUGCAUAGAUUAUUUUUAAAGACAAUAAGCAUCUUUAUGAUGCAGAUUUAUUAUUUGUGCUAAUGCAUUAAUAACAAUUCUAUUAAGCUGAUGCUUCAAUUAUGAAGUUAUUGGUCAAGCUACAA